rnacentral:SRP_RNA from 1 species
GCUGGGUGCGGUGGCUCACGCCUGUAAUCCCAGCACUUUGGGAGGCCGAGGCGGGUGGAUCACCUGAGGUCAGGAGUUCGAGACCAGCCUGACCAACAUGGUGAAACCCCGUCUCUA